UGAUCCCCCACCUCCUCUAAACUAGUCCGAAGACAGACCCUCGCAAAGCUUAAUCCCAUUUUCACUCUCCAUCUCCCAAUCUCAAACAAAGAAAACCUAGCCACCCUUUUGAGCCCCGCCGUCUUCGCCCUUCUCCGCCGCCAGGAUAUCGCCCUACGGUGGCGAAGCAACAACAAACCACCCCAAGUAUACCCUCCACACGAAUCUAUCAACCAUUGAACCUAAAACCCUAUCAAAUCCCACCAAUUCUAGAUCUAAAAAUUAGAAGCCCCAGUUUAUCGGUAUUGCCGACUUUUCUUCUAUUCCUUCGAGUUUCAAGACACGAUUUGGAUCUAAAAUUUACAUUAAUUGAUUGUUUUCAGUAAUAAUGAUUGAUUAAUAUAUUUUUGGACCUACUUCGAAGCAUGACCAGAGUUCGGCCAACCUCGUUGGAGCACUUUUGAUCCAAUUUCCUUUCCCUUUUUAUAAUAAAAGAUUAUUGUUGUUGAUUUUCAUUCUUACCUUUUUCUCUUCUUUUAUUUUACGUGUUUAUUUGGUAUUCUUAAUUUGGAAGAUUUUCUUUGGUUGGUUUUGUUGUUAGCAUAAUUAGGUUAAUGGUUAAUUGGAUGUGCUUUAGUUAAUUGCAACUGAUUUUAGGUUAAAUUAACAACAACUAAUUAUAUUUUAAUUGGAUUUAAUUGUUAGUUAAAUAUAUGUAGUAGUUAGUUUCACAUGUUCAAGUGAUUUGUUGGUUAAGUUUAGUUUCACAUGUUCAAGUGAUUUGUUAGUUAAGUAAUUUGCAAAAGUUUACUCUGAUAUUUGGAUUUGGGUUAGCCAUUGAAAGCCUGAUCAGUCAAGGCCAGGAUUGUUGCUAAACUUCAGCCUAUCUUGGGCCAUCUGGCCAUGAGUUGGGCCUGCAUUAGGCCAAUUUGCCAUGACAAUUGGCCCAAACCUCAGAGGAAAGUUCUAAAAGUGUAUCAGCUGUCCAAAAUUUAUUUAAAAGAUGCUGAAAAAAUGGAUAGUUAUAUUUUUUUUCUCUAUCAAUAUGUGGUACUGACCAAAGAACUUAGGUCAGAAUAUUAUUUGAAUGUUGUUUUUGUAUGCCCACUCUUUCAUUAUAAUAGAUUUUCAUACCAUAAAAAAGCACUUCAAAAAGUUCAACUUCUACUAUUCCAUUAGAGUUGAUUAAAUUUUCGAUUUUAAAAGAAACUUUCGACCCAAUUUCCUCGGAUUUUUGGUUCUCUAUGUAAAAAUAUUAUUUAAGCUUUGGAUCUGCAUGGUGUUUGCAUUUGAAUGUUGUUGAUUUUCUAUUGAUAUUUUCUUGCUGAUUUAUGUUGCUUUUUAGAGAUUUUCUCAUUUUAUUUUUGUUGUAUCCAGGUACUUCAUGAACCUUUGAAUGAUAAAAUAAAGCUCUAAGCAUGUGUUUCAGUUGAUUGUAAUAAGAAAUUGGUAUGCAAAUAUUGAGCUUUAGUUUUCCCUUACAUAAUUCUGUCAAGUUGUAUCGUUUUUCUGCAAUUUCUUAGUUUCAUUUAAGCAUGUUGUAUUCUACCUAAUAGUUAAUGGCUCGGGCGGGAGCUCCAUUAUAUUGAAGGUUUAAACUAGCUUACUUUCGCUUUUCAUGUAUUGCUCAUGGUAGCCCAGAAACUUUCUUGGUUGUUUAUUAGAGAAUAUUGAUUAGUAUGUCAUACAUGUUUAAAAAAUACAUUGCUUAGUCGAUGAGUUCAUUCAAUUUAACUGUCUAAAAAUCCAGCAUUGAUAAGGUGAUUGCAUAUUAGAGAUUAAUUUAUGUAAUGAGUAGUUUAAGGUUUAAACAUAUAAAUAUUAUCACUAAU
rnacentral:lncRNA from 1 species